UAAAAGCUAUUAUUUUUAGUACACCCUGCUCAAUGAAACUUAAAUAGCCGCAAAAUUUGUGCUAAGGUAGCAUAAUCAUUUGCCUAAUAAUUAUAGGAUAGUAUGAAAGGGAUAACAUGUAAUAAACUUUAUUAAGAAAAGUAUUUAAAUUUAAAAAGUAAGCAACAAUUCUUACACAACCAGGGGGACGAUAAGACCCUGUCAAACUUCACCGCUAGGUUUAGCUGGGGCGGCAGAAAAUUAAAACUUUACCUUAAUACCAAAAGCAAAACCUGUAUAGCAGAUAUUACAAGUUACUGCAGGGAUAACAGCACUAUCGUCUUUUAAAGAUCUUAUAAAAAGGAUGGCUUGUGACCUCGAUGUUGAAUUAAAGAUCUCUUUGAGGCAACCCUCAAAGAAGAAAGUCUGUUCGACUUUUAAACAAUU
rnacentral:rRNA from 1 species